GGAGGGGUGGCAGAGCGGCUGAAUGCACCGGUCUUGAAAACCGGCAUGUCCUUUGGGCAUCGGGGGUUCAAAUCCCUCCCCCUCCG
rnacentral:tRNA from 1 species